AUGAUCAUCCCAUCGUCAUGAGAGAGAGAGAGAGAGAAAGCGAGAAAGAAAUUUAUUGUGGCACUAAAAUCAAAAACUUUGCUUAGGUUUUCUAACUUUGUGUUUUGCCUUUUAGUUUAGGUUUUAUUUUGCUUAGGUUGCCCUAAAACCAGACUUAUUUCUAUUACAUUGUGUUUACUCUGCAUUAAAUGGGAGUCACGUAGACUAUAUCGUUAAGGUGCAAAACUAUAGGGGCUAUCAUAGAUUGUAUUUAUAAUCUGUAAUACAUUCAAUUAAUCUCAUAUUUUGUGUUGCAAGGGUUCAUCUCUUCCCCUCAUUUUUGACAGGACAGGACUUGUAGUUGACAGAACAGAUAACUCCUGUGUAAAAUUUGCCAACAAACACUCACAGUAAAAGAACAUUUUUAUUACGAGCCUCAACUAACAAGUACAUUUAUCAAAGUUCAUUAGAGGGGACCAACUUUUUUCUGUGAUUGUUAUGAAGCUGAGCACUCUAUCAUUAGAUCAUGCUUGACAUAACAGGAAAUGAAAGUAAGCUUCAUUGUGUUGCGGCAUCAAAUAAAAGGUAUCUUCUUCUUUUGUGGAAGUCACUGAAGCAACAAUAUGUUGCCCUAAGAUAAAUUCAAAAAUGGAGCAUGUGAAACUUAAUAAAAUAUAGGCAGAAGGGAUAGAGAGCAAUCAACAGAACAUAAUGAAAAAGUACUGCAUUAUACAGUAAAAUAUAUACGUGGUGGAGAGACGAGUUGGAGAAGGUUCUGCUAGUAAUUCAAAGCCAAACGUAUUAUUUCCCCCGGUCUGUAAAUACUGAUGUUUUAAACAUUUAAAAUGUUAAAAAAAAAAACAGUAGCGAAUAUCUCACAAUAUUUUAAUAAUCAUAUGAAUCCCUAUUGUUUCUAAAUUAUUUAAGAGUGAAGAAUGACAAUGGUCCGUUGGAACAACACUAGAUUCUUUUUUUCUUUUUUUUUUUUUUUUACUCAGAAAUUACCAGAAAACUCCUUUAAGAUCUAAUAUGCAAAGUAUAUAAAGUGGUAUAGCCCAUCAAACACAAACGCUGUGUGAUCGCGUUGCACAAAACCUAUUAAACUAUCAUGGCUCCAACCCUGCACCUACUGUUAACCACAACAUAAGAACAUCAGGUUGCAGUGCACGAAGUGUGGCUCCCUGCAUAGAGAUUUUGUACAUCUGACAUUGAAAUAUGAAGAGCUGAAACAGGCUUUGUAUAAGUGACCUGAUUUUUACAGGGUGAGAAGUGCAGCUUUGACCUAACACCCUGUUUUUUUAUGACAGGAAACUGCACAUUGAGGCGAUAGAUAGAAAAGCACGCAGAAGAAAAAGAGACUGCCCGCUUUUCCACUCUGACAGAUGUUAAAACUUCAGUUAAAAUUAAAAGAUCUGAACGAUUUAACGUGACUCAGCCUGAAAAUGUUGGCUGAAAGCAGACCAUUGAUGUGGACUCUGUUGCUUCUAUUUGCAGAAGAUGUUUUCUCCAACAAGUGCUUCGUGGAUUACCCCCAGCAAACCAUCUGUGCUGUCAGAGGCUCAUCUGUUGUCUUCUUUUGUAUCUUUAAUAAUAUUGAAAAACAAGAAGUAAAAAAGUUCAUGUGGGCUUAUGUGAAGUCUUCUAAAGUUCGUUUAAUUUUAAAUUACCCUGGGAAUGUAUCUGAAAGAUUUGAGUACGCCGGAGACAAAGAGCAUAACUGCUCUUUGAAAAUACACAAAGUGAAACAUUAUGAUGCUGGGAAAUAUUUUUUCAGAUACAAUACCAACAAAAGAUGCCCCACUAAACUUCUGGUAUUGAACGUUAUUGAUCUGAAUAUUUCGGUGCAAAAAGAAACGAUAAAAGAAGGAGAUUCAGUAAAUCUCACCUGCAAAAACCGCUGCGACGGUGGAGUAGGUUCAUAUGGGUACAGCUGGUUUAAAGAUGGAGAAGCCGUAAAUGAAGGACCAGUACUUCAUUUAACAGACGUGUCCUCUAAACAUUCAGGAAACUACACUUGCUCCCUAAAAAUGAAAAACGGAACAACUUCAGGAGUCGCUCAUGUCGAUGUUGAAUAUGGACCCAAGAACACAUCUGUGCUCGUCAGAUCAUCAUCUGAGAUGGGUGCGGGCAGCAGCAUUGUCCUGAUCUGCUGCAGCGACGCACUCCCGCCUGUGGAAAAUUACAGGUGGUUCAAAAUAGUAGACGGUUUGAUACAGAAAGUUGGACAUCAGGCUGAGCUGCUUCCUGUUCAUGGUGGUCAGUAUUUAUGCAGUGUCUCCAACAAACAUGGAAGUCAAAACUCCACAGUUUUCACUUUGAAGAAGAAUCCUUAUUGGACGUUUAUGAGAGACAUGCUUUUCAUUAUCAGUGCCAGUGUUGUCCUACUUCUUGUCGUGACAUCUGUUAUUGCUGUUUGCAGACUCACCAAAACCAAAAUGAGGGCAGAGACAGAACAUCUGAAAGAAAUGCAGGUCAUCUUGUUUUGUUUCCUUGAUUUAAACCACAGACAGCAUUGUUUAUCGAAUGUUAUCUGAAGCCAAAUCAAGUAAACAUCUCAAACUCUGAGUCAUCACAGAUAAAAUGUGGGAAAAUAACCUUUGAGGACAGAUGGUGCGAAUCGACUUAGGUGUGAAGACAGUCACCAGUCACAAGCUGACAACGAUCUUAAGGUUGAAGAAGCUACAACAGAAAUAAUAUAUGCAACUAUUGAAUUUCAAAAGGGAAGAAAGAGAACCAUGAAACAGCAGGAUUAUGAAAAUGAAACUGUUAUUUACAGCACAGUUCGCAGGAACUAGCUUUUGAGCCACUGAAACAGGACAUCCUCUUGAUGUGAUUGCUCGCAGCGCAGUCUGAGUAAGAGCAAAACCUUCUGCCUGUGGGAUCUUUCUGGUUGGUGGAUGUCUCUUUAGAUGAUGAAAAGAAGUACAGCAACUCACAUUUAGUCUGUCUGCCAGAAAGUAUCACUCUUGAUGAGAACUGAAAAAUAAAACUCCAAUGAGAUUUACUGAGAAAAUGUUGAAGCACAAAAACCACCAUUGUUUGUCGAUAUUUGCAUAUUUAUUGGUAUGUGACUACGGAAAAAGUUGUUUUCAAUGACUAACAGUGAGUUACUUCUUUCCAUUUCUUUUAUGUGAGGAAUCUCUCAUAGUAUGAUUCUUGUGAGACACUAGAAGUUUCUUAGAAAUGUUCUCAAAAACAUGCAAAAGGCUGUUCAGUUUUUACUUCUAAAGCCAAGAAAUGCAUUGUUUUUAAUAACUGUUGAACUUUACCUGUAAAUUCUUAAGAAAAAUCUGAAAGUCUGUCUGUGCAAAAGUGACUCAUUCACCACAAUAAAACGACAGUGCCUCCCAA